AGGAAUCUGGGAUCAUACACAGUCUACAGAUCAACACCAACUCUCCAUUGUGGUGACCAAGACACAAGACUACAACAUGAAAACCACAUUGAUCCUCGCUGUGAUCGCCACCAGUCUCUUGAUGUUUCAGCUCACUGCAGCUAAAGAUCCAAGCUGUUCCUUACCUAGAAUAGUGGGUCCAUGCAAGGCAUAUGUUCGUCGCUAUUAUUAUGAUCAAAAUUCAGGUCAAUGCAUCGGAUUCAUGUAUGGCGGUUGUAAAGGAAAUAACAACAACUUUUCUGACAGUAGAUCCUGCCAGAUUGCCUGCAAUUGAGUAUAAGGAAACUUAUUGAACUUUACAGAACUUUCAAACCUAAAAAGACCAGAUGAUGUUCCUUCUUAUAUUGUUUACUGAUAUUGUAAUGUGAUAGAAAUUAUUCUGUUCUGUAACAGUUCUGUUCUUUCCAUAAUAAACGAAUGAGUUUUACUUUCU